UACGGAGGGGGCUAGCGUUGUUCGGAAUUACUGGGCGUAAAGCGCACGUAGGCGGCUUUGUAAGUUAGAGGUGAAAGCCCAGGGCUUAACCCUGGAAUUGCCUUUAAGACUGCAUCGCUAGAAUUGUGGAGAGGUAAGUGGAAUUCCGGAGUGUAGAGGUGAAAUUCGUAGAUAUUCGGAAGAACACCAGUGGCGAAGGCGACUUACUGGACACAUAUUGACGCUGAGGUGGCGAAAAGCGUG
rnacentral:rRNA from 1 species